rnacentral:rRNA from 1 species
GACGAACGCUGGCGGCGUGCCUACCACAUGCAAGUCGAGCGGGAACCUCGGGAGGGGUAACCCUUCCGUGGGGAGAGCGGCGAACGGGUGAGUAACACGUGGGCAACCUGCCCCGGACACCGGGAUAACCCAGGGAAACCUGAGCUAAUACCGGAUACUCCGGCGUGAUCGCAUGGUCGCGCCGGGAAGGCCCCGACGGUCCGGGAUGGGCCCGCGGCCUAUCAGCUUGUUGGUGGGGUAACGGCCCACCAAGGCGACGACGGGUAGCUGGUCUGGGGGGACGGCCAGCCAUACUGGGACUGAGGCACGGCCCAGACUCCUACGGGAGGCAGCAGUGGGGGAUCUUGCGCUAAGGCGCGAAAGCGUGACGCAGCGACGCCGCGUGGGGGAUGAAGGCCCUCGGGUUGUAAACCCCUUUCGGCAGGGACGAAGCGAAAGUGACGGUACCUGCAGAAGAAGUCCCGGCUAACUACGUGCCAGCCGCCGCCGUAAUAC